UUGUGUAAUCAUUCUCCCUGAUUUUUUUUCUCUCCCUUCUGCAUUUUCUGACAGUUCUGUUAUUUCCCUUUGCUUGUUUACGUGCUUGUAAUAAUUGGACUUUCUGCCUCUAUUGAAUCAAUAUAUCUUGUGUUGCCAAUUAUCUUGUAUAACCGUGACAUCUAGUGCUUUUGUUGAGAGUAGGGCUCCAUGGUUUCUAAUAAUGCAGUUUUCGUGAGUUGCAGGCAGAUGUGAGGCGAACGUAGGAAUGGAUGGAUGAUGCCUCAGGGCGUUUCUCUAAACUGGAGGGGUUUGGAAUCUUUCGCCAAAUCGGUUGAGAACCUUAGUCGAUGGGCAGAAGCCAACCAGGCGGAGAAGGAUGCGGAGUCCUAUGGUGUUCAUACAUUCAGCCAGUUACUAACGACAGUACCAACUCAACCAUUUAGGCAAGUUAAGGUCAACUUUCCUAAGUUUGAUGGAAUUAAGCCUCUAGAUUGGCUUUUUCGGGCUAAUCAAUAUUUCUAGUUCUUUGACACCUUCGAUGCUCAAAGGCUGGUAAUGGCUGGAAUACAUAUGAAGGGUCCAGCGGUGCCAUGGUUUUAGAUGAUGUUAAAAUCGGGGCAGUUCCCCAUUAGGCUUCCUUAGCUCGGGCCAUCGAGGAGCAUUUCGGUCCUACACGCUACGAGUGUGCCAGAGUAUAGCUCUUCAAACUGAUGCAACAUGACUCUUAUGAAGAGUAUCUCCAACAACUUAUGGCAUUAGCUAAUAGAUCGGAUGAUAUGACAAAGGGCACCUUAAUUGAUUGUUUUGUUGGUGGUCUCAAGGCAGAAUUAUGAUGGGAUGUAGUUGCUCAAGCUCCAAACACAUUAUUAAAGGCUGUUGCUAGGGCAACUUUAUACGGAGAAGGACUCUACUACUACCACCCCCUCCCGGUUACGUUCAAUGUAUUCUCCUUCACCAAUGAGCAGCACAAGAGCCUAGGUGGUUCCUACAAAUAUUAUGCCGAAGUUGGUAAACUUCGGAAUCGGUAACAAAAUGAUAUUUCCCCAUUAUUGCCUACCUCGGAUCAACCCCUAAAACGUCGGAUCACCCCUGCCGAGAUGUAGAUCCAAUGGGAGAAAGGCUUAUGCUACUUUUAUGAUGAGAAGUUCUCACUGGCACAUAAAUAUGGAAAGAGACAGUUAAUGAUGUUGACGACGGACGCUGGAAGAGAAGUUAUGGCAGAGGAAGUAAUUGAAGGGGCAGAAGAGGAGUUAUACACCUUUCACCACUUGUCAUUAUGUGCCUAUCGAGGGUCAUCUGGAAUAGCUACAAUUCGUUUUGAGGGUACAAUAUAAGGGACCAAUGUGCAGGUGCUUCUAGAUAAGGAAAGUUUGGAUAACUAUGUACGCCCCAGGAUUGUCCACCACUUAUGAUUGCCAGUUGAAAAGGUACCCAUAUUUAGAGUGCUGGUAAGGAUAGGUUAGUUGAUGAGAUGUGACUUGAUGGUGGCCAAACUUCCUGUUUUGAUCAGUGGAUAUACUAUCUCUUUCCUUACUUUUGUUUUACCUGUUGUGGGUAUUGACAUAGCUAUUGGGGCUGCAUGGUUGGAGACAUUGGGACUGCAUGUGGCAGACUACAGUGCGUUUAUGACCUGAUUUCUCUCCAUAAUGGAAAUUUCAUUACACUAAAUGGGUUCAAGACUGCACCCAUGAUGCAAGCUCAGUUGCAUCAAUUAAUUUGGCUUUGUCACACUGAUGUAGUUGCGGAAUUAUUUAUGUUACAGGGACAUGAAAGGGUGGUAGAAGAAGUAGAAGAUUCAGACUUGCAGCUUCCACUAGAUGUACCCACUGACCUUGGUCAUGUACUUUGACGCUACAGACCAAUUUUACAAAAACCCACUAUGCUUCCACCUCAUCAUGAACAUGUGCAUCAGAUUCUACUUCAACCGGGUGUUAAUCCUGUGAAGGUGCGGCUAUAUCGCUACCCAUUCAACUAGAAAAAUGAAAUAGAGAAAAUGGUGCAAGAGUUGUUAUCCGAGGGCUUUAUACAGGCAAGUAGCAGUCCCUUUUGAGCUCCAGUGAUCUUGGAUAGAAAGAAGGAUGGCAUAUGGCGCUUUUGUGUGGACUAUCGUGCCCUUAAUGCUGUCACAGUGAAGGGUGUAUUCCUUCUUCCAACAAUAGAUGAGCUAUUAGAUGAAUUGCAUGGGAACAUAGGCUAUAUGCAAAGCCUUCCAAAUGCUCAUUUGAACAAACGAAGGUUGAUUACUUGGGGCACGUAGUUACAAAAGAUGACGUAGAAGUUGACUAAGGCAAAGUACAGGCAACUCGGGACUAGCCUGUACCUACCACGUUGACUCAACUCAGGGGAUUCCUUGGAUUAAUAAGGUAUUAUAAGCGAUUCAUUCGAUAGUAUGCACGAGUUGCUACCUGUUUGACCAGCCUUCUAUAGAAAGGUACUUUCCAGUGGCAUUCUAAAGCACAACAUGCAUUUGAGGCGCUGAAGCAAGCCUUUAUGUAGGCUCCAGUGUUAGCACUACCAGACUUUUCAAAGCCUUUCAUACUUGAGACCGAUGCCUCUGGCAUUGGCACUGGCACCGUAUCAUGCCAAAACGAACAUCCCAUCACAUAUUUUUCAAAAAAGUUACCUAAAUGGAUGCGAGAAGAAUCAGUAUAUAACAGGGGAUUCGCAUAGACUAUGCAAGUUUGAAACACCUUAUUGAUCAACGGGUCCAAGCACCCGAGCAGGAAGCAUGUCUCUUGAAGCUUCUCGGGUACCAGUGGAAUAUGAGCCUAAAGACACUAAUACUAUUACAGAUGCUUUGUCUCAAGUGACUUUGAUGACUUUAACACAAGUUCACCAUCCCAUUAUGGAUGAAAUUUAUUAGCGAGUUCGAUCUUCGAUGAUAAUCUCUCACAUGCGCCUGCAGCUCGAGGAUAAGCCAACAUCCUUUCCAUGUUAAGUGUUGCAGCAUGGUGAUGUUUUUCACCAACAAUGCCUGGUAUUACCCUAUGAUGACGUAGAGUUGAUCAAACAGUUAUUAAAGGAGUUUCAUGAUUUGGCUAUAGGUGGUCAUGCAAGUUUUCUCCACACUUUCCAACAUUUAGCAUCCUUGUUCUAUUGGCCCAAGAUGCGCCAUGAUAUUUAUGAUUAUGUAUAGCAUUGUUUGAUCUGCCAACAGGUGAAAGUCUCUCAACUUCACCCUGCUAGUUUACUACAACCAUUGCCAGUGCCUUAAAGAAUUUGGGAGGGUAUUUCGAUGGACUUCAUUACUGGUCUUCCUCUGGUAUGGGGGUAUGCAGUCACCUUUAUAGUAGUGGAUUGUCUUUCCAACUAUGGCCACUUUAUUCUGUUAUAAGCAUGCUAUACCAGUCAAAUAGUGGCUGAAGCUUUCCUUCAUCACGUGGUCAAGUUUCAUGGUCCACUGUAAACGAUCUUUUCUGAUCGUGAUAAAGCUUUCACAAGCUCAUUUUGGCGCUACUUAGCUCGAUUGCAAGGCAUCCAACUUCAACUGAGCUUAUCAUAUCACCCUUAGAGUGACGCGCAAAUUGAGGCAGUCAACUGCACAUUGGAAUUGUAUCUCCGCUGCUUCACAGCUGACCGCCUUUGUCAUUGGCUUGAUUAUCUUCCAUGGGCUGAAUUCUGGUACAAGCCAUGACUCUUUGGGUAUGUCACCCUUCAAGAUCGUUUAUGGCCAUGAUCUGCCACCGUUACUGCAUCAUGCUUCUCUGAAAGAUACCCCUGUGGACAUCCAUGCUCAGCUGACAAAAUGAGAUCUCAUUCUUACAUACCUCUGGGACACCUUAAUCAAAGUGCAGGAACGCAUGAAGUGUUUUACUGAUCGCACUCGUUUAGAGUUGCCCUUGGUGACUGCUCUUGCGGGUCCCAUUUCCCAGCCGAUUGACAUCCUGGAUGUUCAUUUCACUAUUCAUGAUCUUCAAGUAGUUUCUGAGGUUUUGGUGCAAUGGGACUAUGCGAUUACGCCAGCGUGGGAGUCUUGGAGCAGAUCUAGAAAUUAUAUCCAGAUUUUGACCUUGAGGGUAAGGUCAAACUCUAGGGAGCGAGUAUUAUCACAAUGACCCAUUAUGAUCAGACCUAACCCAAUGAGAAUGCGGGAGUUGUCAAAGCAGAGCAUGGGCUUGAAGAUUCGAGCCUAAUCCAAAAGGCACACAUGAUUGAAGAGGCACCAUGUAGAAGCAAACGUAAAUGAAGACCCACGUGGAGACUUCAUGAGUUGGAUGAUAUUUAAGUAAUGAGGAGGAGGGGGUGGGGAAGGUUGUUCAAAAUUGUGUAAUCAUUCUCCCUGAUUGUUUUUCUCUCCCUUCUGCAUGUUCUGACAGUUUUGUUAUUUCCCUUUGCUUGUUUACGUGCUUGUAAUAAUUAUACUCUGUGCCUCUAUUAAAUCAAUAUAUCUUGUGUUGCCAAUUA